GCGGCCGCAGGGGAAGGACCUAACUGGGAAGCUCCUGCAGAGGACCAGCCGACACUCUUGCCGCUGCUGGGAACAGAGGCUUCUACAGGCCGGCACGAACCCCUACUGUGGGAGGAACCAGGGGAGGUGACGGGCCCGGAGACCUGCGGAGAACCCUGGGAUUCGUGGGAGACCCCAACUCCCAAGCUGGAUGGAAGCGACCCGGGGGAGGUGACAGACUGGUACCUGGCCCCCGCAGGUGCUGGGAUCACAAGAAACUGUGAGGAGGAGAAUACUCAGCAGGAAGUGGAACCACAGUGAGUGAUAACAGCAAGGUCCAAAAGAAAGAGUUCCUUGAGUUUUGACUGGGAAAAUUCCAGUGCGAUUUAGUGCAGGCCAGGUAGGCAGCAAAGACACACUGCAUAGAAGAGGAAUCAUAAAUCAACUCCCAAGGAAAGAAGACCCAGGGAUUGCAGUGGGACCAUCGUCCACCAGUUACCUUACACAAGGGAGAAACCCCAUCACUGCACUGAACGUGUGAUGAGCUCAAACUUCAUUACACACCAGCGAAUCCACUCUGGAGUGAACCCCGUCACUGUGCUGAGUGUGGGAAAAGCUUCACUCAGAGCUCACCUCUUGGAGAAAUCAGUAGCUCCAUGUGGAAUAGAAACCAGGGAGGACUCUUCCACUAGGCUUGGAAGAGAUCACUUCAGGGAGUCCAUAGCCUCACACACAGAAGUAUGUGAAGUGAGUGAAGCCCAAGAGGUCACUCAGAAAUGCAGUGGCUACCCACAGAGAGACAGGAUAUACAGACACUGCCUGAUGGGGUACACCCUGGCAUCUUCUCCCUGCAGCAUCUCCAACAGUUAUUGGCUCCUCUCUCUAAGGCCUCAAAGUGUUCACACAUCAUGUCUAGACUUCACCCCAGGAUUUCAGUUGUGAUUACCUUUUCCCAGUUUUCUAGUAUUUUUCAUUGCACAUUAACUAGUUGUGUUAAGUGCUUUUACAAAUGCAAUAAAUCAUUUUCACAGAC